ACGGCCUCUGAGUGGAGGUCCACCGAGAGGUUCUAGGGGCAUGGCCUCUGAGCGGAGGUCCACCGAGAGGUUCUAGGGGCACGGCCUCUGAGCGGAGGUCUACCGAGAGGUUCUAGGGGCACGGCCUCUGAACAGAGGUCCACCGAGAGGUUCUAGGGGCACGGCCUCUGAGCAGAGGUCCACCGAGAGGUUCUAGGGGCAUGGCCUCUGAGCAGAGGUCCACUGAGAGAUUCUGAGGGCACGGCCUCUGAGUGGAGGUCCACCAAGAGGUUCUAGGGGGCACGGCCUCUGAGCGGAGGUCCACUGAGAGGUUCUAGGAGCAUGGCCACUGAGCAGAGGUCCACUGAGAGGUUCUAGGGGCACGGCCUCUGAGUGGAGGUCCACCAAGAGGUUCUAGGGGCAUGGCCACUGAGCAGAGGUCCACUGAGAGGUUCUAGGGGCACGGCCUCUGAGUGGAGGUCCACCAAGAGGUUCUAGGGGGCACGGCCUAUGAGCGGAGGUCCACCAAGAGGUUCUAGGGGCACGGCCACUGAGCAGAGGUCCACUGAGAGGUUCUAGGGGCACGGCCUCUGAGUGGAGGUCCACCGAGAGAUUCUGAAGGCACGGCCUCUGAGCGGAGGUCCACAGAGAGGUUCUAGGGGCACGGCCUCUGAGCGGAGGUCCACCGAGAGGUUCUGAGGGCACAGCCUCUGAGCAGAGGUCCACCGAGAGGUUCUAGGGGCACGGCCUCUGAGUGGAGGUCCACCGAGAGGUUCUGAAAGCACAGCCUCUGAGCAGAGGUCCACCGAGAAGUCUUGAGGGCACAAAAGAUGGUCAAUUUUGCUAAUAAGGAGAAGGACUUCUCAGUGUUCGUCCACGACACGGCAUUUCCACUCAGACUGCAAAUGAAACGCAGUGAUGAUCU